rnacentral:rRNA from 1 species
UACGGAGGGAGCUAGCGUUGUUCGGAAUUACUGGGCGUAAAGCGCGCGUAGGCGGCUUUGUAAGUUAGAGGUGAAAGCCCGGGGCUCAACCCCGGAACUGCUUUUAAGACUGCAUCGCUUGAAUCCAGGAGAGGUGAGUGGAAUUCCGAGUGUAGAGGUGAAAUUCGUAGAUAUUCGGAAGAACACCAGUGGCGAAGGCGGCUCACUGGACUGGUAUUGACGCUGAUGUGCGAAAGCGUGGGGAGCAAACAGG